GACGAACGCUGGCGGCGUGCUUAACACAUGCAAGUCGAACGGAAAGGCCCCUUUGGGGGUCCUCGAGUGGCGAACGAGUGAGUAACACGUGAGUAACCUGCCCUUGACUUCGGGAUAACUUCAGGAAACUGGGGCUAAUACCGGAUAGGAAUCCUUGCUGCAUGGUGGGGGUUGGAAAGCUUCGGCGGUUUUGGAUGGACUCGCGGCUUAUCAGCUUGUUGGUGGGGUAGUGGCUUACCAAGGCUUUGACGGGUAGCCGGCCUGAGAGGGCGACCGGCCACAUUGGGACUGAGAUACGGCCCAGACUCCUACGGGAGGCAGCAGUGGGGAAUAUUGCACAAUGGGCGGAAGCCUGAUGCAGCAACGCCGCGUGCGGGAGGACGGCCUUCGGGUUGUAAACCGCUUUCAGCAGGGGCGAAGCUUGUGGUGACGGUACCUGCAGAAGAAGCACCGGCUAACUACGUG
rnacentral:rRNA from 1 species